AUGAAAAUUGUGUUUCCGUCAAGUAGAAAAUUUCUUCUAAACAAACAAAACAUUUCCAUAGAAAGAAUCAUUAUCAUGAGUAAACUUGCUUCAAACAAUAUACUUCCAUAUGAAUGUGCUCAAUUUUUUUUCAAACAAAUAUGCUUCUUUGAGAAACAAUUUACAUCGAAUCGUUCCUUACAAAUUGGAUAUUCUCCCACUAGUUUCCUUACUUGCUUCUGUACGGGAUGUGACAAUGCGGCCCCUCAAGCUGGCCAUUGGUGCUACAUGCUUCCUACUAGCUUCAUGUUCGUUCACUUUCGUGAACAUUUACAAGCAGGCAUGUCAUUUCCUGUUUCCAAGCAAAAAAUACCUACUACUUGCUACAUGUUUGCUCCGUGA
rnacentral:rRNA from 1 species